rnacentral:tmRNA from 1 species
GGGGGCGUUACGGAUUCGACGGCGGUAACGAAACCUGAGGUGCAUGCCGUGAUGGCAGCGAAUCACGUUAAUCCAAAGCUGUAAUGUAAUAGUUGCCAACGACGACAACUACGCUCUAGCGGCUUAAACCCCGCUAGCGGUCUAUAGCAAGGUGCCAGUACCGCGCUAACGACUGUCAUAUAGAACUGGACCGCAGUGGCUUAUGUCUCGGGAGACACUGUCAAAUUUAACGAGACUCGCGGAUAACGUCCUGCCCGUUGGGCUGUUAUCGGCUAAAUCAAUUAACGGAAUCUAAGCAUGUAGAGCCAACGGCAGAGUGCUGGCGGACGCGGGUUCAACUCCCGCCGCCUCCACCA